rnacentral:lncRNA from 10 species
AAAAUGCAGGAAUGUUGGCAGCUACAUCCAUGUUCUUUCCAACAGAUCUUGAAAGUCCCAUGCAUUGAGUGCUUGCUAUGUGCCAGGCACUUGCAAGACUUUUUUCCUCCUCUUUGAAGAGGAAAGAAAGGACAUGAACACUGGAGACAGCCAUGGGGAAGGGAUGAGGUAGGCAAGGGUCAGACCCAUAUGUGUUCUAAUCCCAGCUCCACCACCACAGAAGUGUGAGUUUCCGGCAACCUAAUGAAUUCCUUAUAAGCCUCUUGCUCCUCAUCUGCCCAGGGGAGGCAACGGUGCUUACUCAGGGAGUGUGUGAUGAUUAAAUGAUAUAAUGAAUCAUACACAUGCCCAGCAUUGAACACCAUUGGUGCUCAACCAGCAUUUGCCCCUGUCCCUUCCACCAGAGCCCAGUGAUCCUGGACAGCUUUCAGGCAUCUUGAGUUCUCAAGGGCUUCCUUUGGUUCUCUUUGUACAGUAAGGACUGUGGGGAUGCAAGAUGCCACUCCUGUGCCAAGAAUGUGAGGAGCACUAUUUUCCUCCCAAGUCAGGUCUUUAUGGUAACCUUAAAAUGGUGCAAAAUUCCAGCAUCUCAACUCCCUUUCCCUGCCGUUAUUUUUAUCUCUUCUCACUCUGUCAUGUUCAUAGGAUGCUGCCUCUUGCUGUGGCAACAGACACAAGGCUGGGUUGGGAGCAAUCAGAGACAGAUGGGAAAGACCUGCUGGAAGAAUCCCGGAACAUAGAAGCUGGAAUCCAUGUCCGCUCCCUCCGCUGCUUCCCACAGCCUCCUCCAAAGCCCUGAGAGAGAAGUGCAGGGGGAGGUCACACCCUCCCCUGCAUCUGGGUUGGGGGACCUAAGAGGACCACCCAGAAAAGUAAAUUAUUUUUAAGCAGAGUAUGCUGUUAUUUGAAAAACACAUACAUAUUUGAUAUUUCACUCAAAAUAUAUCAACCUUCAUUUGGCAUAUCCAGGUAAUAUUUUUAAAUCACUUAAUUUUUUUUUCACCAAAAUCCACACAUAAAAUUGACGCUCACGUAUAAAUCCACACUGGGUAUUUGUUCUGUUAGUGUCAAGCGCUGCUGAGAACACGACCCUAUUUCCCAGUGAAAUGUGGACUUCAGGAUGGGAAACCUGAGUAGAUCCCAACUUCAGAUGACGGAAGUAAAGCCCAGAGGUUGCAAAUCAAUCUUUUCUCUUCUUUUAACUUUAUUUUCCACUUACUUCAUAAACAUUCUUCCGUUUAAUCCUCACAAGAAACCUACAAGGAAAGGAGGAAGAACAGUGUUGUUACUGUCUCCACUUCGUAGGUGACAUCCAGCAAGGUGACAGGAUUUGGCUGCUGCCUCCCAGGUUGCCAUGGUGAAUUCCAGCCCAGAAAACAAGAUAACAUACAGAGCCAAGAGUGAGAACACCAUGGGACGUGGUGACAGAGGGAGAUGGCAGCUUUGAUGGGAGCACUGAGGGGGCAGGUAAUGCAGCCUAGAGAUUUAUGGAAGACCUGCGCUUCACUUCAAUGGCAGGCAAUAGUGACACACCAAAAAGAAUUUGCUUGUUGCAAAUUCAAGUCCAAAUGGAGCAGCCUAACACAGGGCCAGCUAUGUAAGUGGGAUGACAACUAGACCGUCCAAAGAUGAUCUAGUUGGCAAGAUGAAGGCUCAGAAAGAAAAGAAAAAAAGAAUCAAAAUAGAUAAUAAAGAAGCUCUUUCCACCCUUCUCAAAAGAAGUAAGACAGCAGAAUGCUGCUGCCCUCUAUUUGAUGCAAACGUCACAUGGAUGAGUGCUAAAAUGACCCAAAAGCAGCAUUCAUGAGCGGAAAUUCUCUGAACUCCAGCGGCUUCCAGCUCUGCAGCAGACAGUGGACAACAGCGCCACACAGGAGACCCCCUUCCAGGACCAGCACACACUCACUCUACCUGCAUCAUGCAACUUGCGCAUAUGCCCGUGACACAGUCCAUCAAUGUUGUCCAUGCCUGGUAAUUUGGCACAAAUGAUAAGCAGCUGCUAUGAUAACUAUUAACCCUUUGCCAGCACAAAGGAAUCUGCCAAUACUUUGAUGGAAGCUGUGUGAUCGAUCAAGGAGCAGCACCGUGAGGGAGGACAGCAUGGAUUCUUAGCCAAAGCUGGGUCUGCCCCUUGCCUGCUCUGUGACCUUCAGCAAUCUGUGCCCUCUCUGUGCCUGCUUCCUUAUCUCUAAACAGGAAUGAGAAUCGCCGAACUCACCUUACUAGGUUAUUGCAAGGAAUAACCAAUUAACAUUUGUGAAACGUAGAAGAGUACCUGGCACAGAGUUAGUUCCAUUUAAACGUUCAGGUUUGUUUUUGUUUUUGUUUUUUAGUCCCAACAUUUCAUCCAAAAUCACAGGUCCAUGGGUCAAUCCCUACCUUAUUCUCAGCCUCUGAUUUCUCUUUGUAAAUAUCUACUUAGCAAAUUCACGAAGUACAUACUAUAUAUAUGACACUGAGGCCAGCGCUGUGAGCUGAAGGCUGGUAAUGCCAUCCCUGUCUUCUUUAAAGGGUUGUUAUUGGCCGGGUGCGGUGGUUCACGCCUGUAAUCCCAGCACUUUGGGAGGCCGAGGCGGGCAGAUCACUUGAGGUCAGGAGUUUGAGACCAGUCUGGCCAACACUGUGAAACCCCAUCUCUACUAAAAAUACAAAAAUUAGCUGGGGGUGUUGGCAUGCACCUAUAGCCCCAGCUACUUGGGUAGCUGAGGCAGGAGAAUCGCUUGAACCUGUGAGGUGGAGGUUGCAGUGAGCCAAUAUUGGGCCACUGCACUUUAGCCUAGGUGACAGAGUGAGACUCCAUCUCAAAAAAAAAAAAAAAAAAAGUGGGGUGGGGUUGUUAUAAGGAUUAAAUACAAUUGUGUUUGGGAAAAUGCUUUGUAAAGUAUAAACCGUUGUGUGUAUUUUAAGAGUUGCUAGUAUUAUCCUGAAUGUGUGUGAUGACAUAUUUUUUCAGCAGUUCUGAGUGGGCUAUUCUGGUGGGCAGGGUGAAACAGGACCCAGAGCAGCUUUAAACCGGAAGCUGAGAGGGAGAGACCAGAAGUAAGGAGGGAAGGGGCGGCCGUUGGUAAGUUCCUGCCAUGGGUCAGGCAUUGUGCUAGGCCCCUGAUAUGCCUUUUCAGAUGCAGAAUGCUAGGUCUCACACAGAACCAGUCCUCUGCUCCUUCGUGGUCCCCUGGAGAAGCUGUGCCUCGCAGCCCCUUACUGUUAGGUGGCACCAGAGACUAAUUCCGUCUGAUGGGCUGUGCAUGGGAAUGACAUGCCACUUCCAGGUGGUGGCCUUGAAGAAUAGAUAUGGGCUACGCUCCCUUCUCUCCCGUCCAUGGGGGCUUCUCUUUCCCUUCCAGGUUGUGCGUCCCAGAGGGUGGCUCUAAAAGUUAAAGGAGGAUGGCCUCCCCAUGUCAGAUAUAACAGGGGCCACUAGUGCACCUGUGCACUCUUGAUUAGCCACUAAAAUGUUGGGGUGAAUUUGUUCAUUUAUAGAUUCCCAACCGCCCUCCCCACCACCACCACUUCACACCCAUCCAAUAGGCUGUUCUCAGCACUGCAACCAAAGCAAUCCUGUUAUGAUGUAAAUCCACAGUUCACGGCCCCCCAGAGGUUUCCCUUCCCGACAAGUAAAAGCCACAGUCCUGGCACCCGACGCCUCCACCCUUCUGCCUUGGUCCCUCUCCCCUACCAUACUGCCCUGCCUGCCAGCCCCUCCAGACCCCUAGAAGAGCUCCUCCCACAGCAGGCAUCCCCUCAGAGCCUCUGCAUGUCCAUCUCCCUUGUCCUCAUGCUUGGCCCCAUCGACGUUCCUCUGGCACUUUCCUUGGAUCUUUGCUCAGGUGUGCCCUGCUUAGUGGGGUCUCUCCUCACCAUCUCACCUAAAACUGUGCCCCUUCUUGGUCUCCUUGGCUUUGUUUUUUGGCAUGGCUUUCAGCACCACCUGGUGCAUCUAUUUCUGUCCGGUCAUCUGGACCCAACAUCAUGGAAUUAGAUGAUAGCAUAAUCUUCAUGAAGGCAAAGAGUUGGGUUUGUCAAAUGUCCAACAACGAUAGACUGGAACAAGAAAAUGUGGCACAUAUACACCAUGGAAUACUAUGCAGCCAUAAAAACUGAUGAGUUCAUGUCCUUUGUAGGGACAUGGAUGAAAAUGGAAACCAUCAUUCUCAGCAAACUAUUGCAAGGACAAAAAAACAAACACUGCAUGUUCUCACUCAUAGGUGGGAAUUGAACAAUGAGAACACAUGGACACAGGAAGGGGAACAUCACACUCUGGGGACUGUUGUGGGGUGGGGGAAGAGGGGAGGGAUAGCAUUAGGAGAUAUACCUAAUGCUAAAUGACGAGUUAAUGGGUGCAGCAUACCAACAUGGCACAUGUAUAUAUAAGUAACAAACCUGCACAUUGUUCACAUGUACCC